rnacentral:rRNA from 1 species
GAUGAAUGCUGGCGGCGUGCCUAACACAUGCAAGUCGAGCGGCAGCGCGAGUAGUUUACUACUUGGCGGCGAGCGGCGGACGGCUGAGUAACGCGUGGGAACGUGCCCCAAAGUGAGGAAUAACUGCCCGAAAGGGUGGCUAAUGCCGCAUAUGAUCUUCGGAUUAAAGUCUUCGGACGCUUUGGGAGCGGCCCGCGUCGGAUUAGGUUGUUGGUGAGGUAAUGGCUCACCAAGCCGACGAUCCGUAGCUGGUCUGAGAGGAUGAUCAGCCAGACUGGGACUGAGACACGGCCCAGACUCCUACGGGAGGCAGCAGUGAGGAAUCCUCCACAAUGGGCGAAAGCCUGAUGGAGCAACGCCGCGUGCAGGAUGAAUGCCUUCGGGUUGUAAACUGCUUUUAUAAGUGAAGAAUAUGACGGUAACUUAUGAAUAAGCACCGGCUAACUACGUGCCAGCAGCCGCCGUAA